CGCAGGUGUCUCGUAAGGUUGCCCUUUUGUGAGAAGCCCCGAGAGCAUGAAGGGCACUGAAAUGGCUUCUCGCCUGUGUGGGUGCGCAGGUGUUUCAUAAGGUUGCUCUUUUGUGAGAAGCUUUGAGAGCAUGAAGGGCACUGAUAUGGCCUCUCGCCUGUGUGGAUGCGCAGGUGGGCUUUCAGGUUGCCCUUUUGUGAGAAGCCCUGAGAGCAUGAAGGGCACUGAAAUGGCUUCUCACCUGUGUGGGUGUGCAGGUGGCUUUU